rnacentral:rRNA from 1 species
GAUGAACGCUGGCGGCGUGCCUAAUACAUGCAAGUCGAGCGAACGGACGAGAAGCUUGCUUUUCUGAUGUUAGCGGCGGACGGGUGAGUAACACGUGGCUAACCUACCUAUAAGACUGGGAUAACUUCGGGAAACCGGAGCUAAUACCGGAUAAUAUUUUGAACCGCAUGGUUCAAAAGUGAAAGACGGUCUUGCUGUCACUUAUAGAUGGAUCCGCGCUGCAUUAGCUAGUUGGUAAGGUAACGGCUUACCAAGGCGACGAUGCAUAGCCGACCUGAGAGGGUGAUCGGCCACACUGGAACUGAGACACGGUCCAGACUCCUACGGGAGGCAGCAGUAGGGAAUCUUCCGCAAUGGGCGAAAGCCUGACGGAGCAACGCCGCGUGAGUGAUGAAGGUCUUCGGAUCGUAAAACUCUGUUAUUAGGGAAGAACAUAUGUGUAAGUAACUGUGCACAUCUUGACGGUACCUAAUCAGAAAGCCACGGCUAACUACGUG